ensembl:rRNA 5S_rRNA 5S ribosomal RNA
GCUUACGGUCAUACACUCUGAAAAAGCCUGAUCUCAUCUGAACCUCGGAAGCAAAGCAGAGUUGGGCCUGGUUAGUACUUGGUUGGGAGACUGAAUGGGAAUACUAGGUGCUGUAAGCU